GACGAUAGCUCAGUGGUUAGAGCCCCCGACUCAUAAUCGGGUAGUCGCCGGUUCAAGUCCGGCUCGUCCC
rnacentral:tRNA from 1 species